rnacentral:rRNA from 1 species
GCUUGACUGCGAGACCUACAAGUCGAGCAGGGUCGAAAGACGGACUUAGUGAUCCGGUGGUUCCGCAUGGAAGGGCCAUCGCUCAACGGAUAAAAGCUACCCCGGGGAUAACAGGCUUAUCUCCCCCAAGAGUUCACAUCGACGGGGAGGUUUGGCACCUCGAUGUCGGCUCAUCGCAUCCUGGGGCUGUAGUCGGUCCCAAGGGUUGGGCUGUUCGCCCAUUAAAGCGGUACGCGAGCUGGGUUCAGAACGUCGUGAGACAGUUCGGUCCCUAUCCGUCGUGGGCGUAGGAAAUUUGAGAGGAGCUGUCCUUAGUACGAGAGGACCGGGAUGGACAUACCUCUGGUGUACCAGUUGUCGUGCCAACGGCAUAGCUGGGUAGCUAUGUAUGGACGGGAUAAGUGCUGAAAGCAUCUAAGCAUGAAGCCCCCCUCAAGAUGAGAUUUCCCAACUUCGGUUAUAAGAUCCCUCGAAGAUGACGAGGUUAAUAGGUUCGAGGUGGAAGCGUGGUGACACGUGGAGCUGACGAAUACUAAUCGAUCGAAGACUUAAUCAAUUU